GUUAAGUAUUUAGGAUUUAGGAGGCCUUUUCUCUUGUGAAAUCCGCUUCAGUAUAAGUGAGAAUCAAAUCACUUUGCUUUCAUUAAGCUUCAUAAUUUUUCUCCUCGCUAGUAUAAAGGUAUGGGCUGCUCAUCUUAUGGCAUUUGCAAAUUGCUUUUAUAACCACAGCAAAUUAAGAGAAGACUGACUGGAAUAUAAAAUGCCCACACUAAUAAUAAUACCUAACAUAUAACUGAUUUAAAAACAGAUUGUUUUAUUUCUUUUUACCUUCAUGUUGGUGUCAGUUUCAUUAAUUAUAUAAUGUUGCCUCAGAAAGUUCAGAGACUGGAAAUGGCUUUUAGAGAUAUGAAUUUACUCCUUCAGAUGAUUUUAUAAUUCAUUCUUUUACUAAAUACAUUUUAUUUUAUAAACACUUACACUCUUGGCUUAUAUAAAAAUGAGUCUUUCAAUGACUUUUUAAUAUUGAUUUAGUAAAUCAUUUCAAUUUUAAAUAUUAUAAAGCAAUGGCUUCAUAUUUUUUAACUAUACAGAUCAUAAAAAAUAGAGUAUUUGGAUAACUUGAAUGUUUUUGUGAUGGUAUAUUUAUGAC
rnacentral:lncRNA from 1 species